CCAAAUCGAUCACUAUGUAGGAGGGGUUGUAGAGGGGAAAGGAUAGAGCUGGCUGAAUUCCCGGCUAGAGUGUCCUGACCAGAAAGGAAGUUGGGCUGAAAAAGGCAAAACAGCAGAAAGUUUUCAUCAGAAGCAGAAGAAAAGAAUGAAGGACCACCAGAAGAUAAAAAAGAAGGAAAAGGAUCUCCAUCAGGGAGGAAGACUAAUGAAUCAUUUGAUGCAUUGAUACAGAGGAAGAGGUUCUACGUUUUCUGUCCAAAGUGAAGACAAAUAAGUCACAGGGGCCUGAUGGGAUUUACCCGAAAUUAUUAAAAGAGCUAAUUGCCAGAGAUGGCAGCAUUCCCCAAUUCUCAAAUUAUCUCCAACCACACUGCUGCUACAGAAAGCGAAGUAGAAGAAACAUCAGCAGCAAGAUAACAGAGACCUGAG